CCGCUUUGACGAAGACCUUGCCAAGACUCCGGGUCCUGCGGCGUUGCCCAAAGUCGCUGUGGAUGCCUACAAGACCAGGGCGCCCGCGUACACCAUGGCGGCCCGACCAAAACCUGCAGAGGGCAAAGCAGCGAAGCCCGGGCCGGCAGACUACAGCGUAGGCCGGGUGACACUGAUCAAGCCCCAGGCGCCUGCAUCCACUUUUGGAAUCCGGCAUUCCCUCUACACAACCCCUCUGAUUGUGGAAUAAAACAGCCAAGUCUGGAAGGCCGCCUUUGCUUGCCUGGGACAGG